UUUGGAAGUCAGAAAACACCCAGAUUUGUCAAGGAAGAGACUCUUCCAAAUAUCUCUGGAACAUGCUUAGGCAAGAUUCCAGAGCACCAACCAUAACCAUUCUUCCUUGUUCCAAGGGUGCUGUUUCCUCAGCCAUAUUCCUUCCUGCUCAGGGAAGACCUUCAAAAAGGAUCACACAACUUCUUCACUGCUCAGCCAUGAGCUUGGUUUCCGUGCCAGUGCUGAUGAUACUUUUUGUCCUGAGGGGAACCGGAGCCCAGUCAGUGACCCAGCCUGACGUCCACAUCACUGUCUCUGAAGGAGCCCGUCUGGAGCUGAGUUGCAAGUAUUCGUCUUCUGUUCCACCAAAUCUCUUCUGGUACGUGCAAUAUCCCAACCGAGGACUCCAGCUUCUCCUGAAGUACACGUCUGGAAACAGCCUCGUUUCAGGCAUCAAAAGUUUUGAGGCUGAAUUUAAGAAGAGCGAAACCUCCUUCCACCUGAGGAAACCCUCAGCCGAUUGGAGUGACUCGGCCAAGUACUUCUGUGCUCUGAGUGACACAGUGCCUGGGACUGCAGGGGGAGCUGAACACAAACUUCUGGUGAAUGUGUGGCUUUCAGUGACUCAAGGAAUCAGCCUGGGGCAUUUUCAGUAA